GAGCAGGGCGGCGGACAGAAACACAAACACUGCAGCGGCCCGUCUUCUGUGUCGGGGUCAGGGCGCGCUGAUGGAACCCCCAAUCCUGUAGUUCUGCUGAGGGCUGACGCUGUCCCCGGGCACCUGCCUGGAGAAUCUUGCUGCCGGGCUUUGGCACAGGAGAGGAGAGGAAGGAGGCGGGCUGAGGUUUUGAGUUAGCCUGAGUCGCCGGGCCUCAGUGGAGACUGUCCGGGUUCUCCGACUCGCUGCUGCAGGCUGUCCCCGGGGCCAUGCUUGCUCCGCUGGCUCCCAGCUUCCCCGGGCGCACUGAAGGUCUCGGGCUCCCGGAGCACUCCAGAAGCGGAGGGCUGCUCGGUGCGGCGCGGCCGGCCAGGCCCGGGCGCCUUCUCCCAGCUCCGGUCGCAGCAGCCAGACACUUGCAACUAACUUCUCCCAAGUUUCCGGCCCGGGCUCAGCCGCGCCCCUCUCGGUGAGCGCGCCUCCGAGCGUGCGCCCGCGUGGGUGCCGCGCCCGCGAGCCCCUGGGUCCCGGCUACUCCGGGCGCCGCAGGCUGGAAGGAUGCAGGGAUCCAGGUCCUGGAGGAGGACGGGGAUUAAAGAAAACGUGCUAUAUCACCUCAGAUCGCAGGUCUGCUCUGGGGCUGCUCCUGCUUUCCCAGCUCCGGGCCCAGGCUUUCGCUCCGCCGCUUCCGAGGCGACUGCAGCCCGGCUCAGAUGCUCGCGGAACUCCCUCACAAGGUCUUCCCACAGUGGUCUUGUUAGCUCUAUGGAACCAAAUCAACACAAGAAAACCAAGGCUCUGGGUCCAGCCUGCCUGAGUCCUGAGCAGAAGAGGCAGAAAACAGAUGAAUAUGGUGAUUGAUGAAAACACAAAGAGGAAGCCAAGUGGUGGCAAUGGGUGAACAGUGAGAAAACCAGUGGAGACCUGAGAGACGAAAGGAGCUUGUCACUCAUGGGGACACUGUCUGACACCAUGGACAGACAACGGAAGAUCACAGGGCCACCGAAGGUCAGCAAGAGCGCCUCGAAAGAUCACCAACGAAAGUUCAUAGCCCCCAUUGCUGGGUCUCAUCAAAGUGUUUCUUUACCUGGCUAAAGCCACGUGAGGCUUUCCUUUCUCUUCAUCUCCAUUUCCAAGUCCAUCAUUUUCA
rnacentral:lncRNA from 1 species